CCUACGGGAGGCAGCAGUGAGGAAUAUUGGUCAAUGGACGAGAGUCUGAACCAGCCAAGUAGCGUGAAGGAUGACUGCCCUAUGGGUUGUAAACUUCUUUUAUAAAGGAAUAAAACGAGGCACGUGUGCCGUUUUGCAUGUACGUUAUGAAUAAGGAUCGGCUAACUCUGUGCCAGCAGCCGCGGUAAUACGGAGGAUCCGAGCGUUAUCCGGAUUUAUUGGGUUUAAAGGGAGCGUAGAUGGGUUGUUAAGUCAGUUGUGAAAGUUUGCGGCUCAACCGUAAAAUUGCAAUUGAUACUGGCAGUCUUGAGUACAGUUGAGGUAGGCGGAAUUCGUGGUGUAGCGGUGAAAUGCUUAGAUAUCACGAAGAACCCCGAUUGCGAAGGCAGCUUACUAAACUGUGACUGACAUUGAUGCUCGAAAGUGUGGGUAUCAAACAGGAUUAGAUACCCCGGUAGUC
rnacentral:rRNA from 1 species